rnacentral:rRNA from 1 species
UACGUAGGGCGCAAGCGUUAUCCGGAAUUAUUGGGCGUAAAGCGCACGUAGGCGGCUUAGCAAGUCGGAAGUGAAAUCCCUCGGCUCAACCAAGGAAGUGCUUUCGAAACUGCUGAGCUUGAGUACUAAAGAGGAUCGCGGAAUUCCCGGUGUAGAGGUGAAAUUCGUAGAUAUCGGGAGGAACACCAGUGGCGAAGGCGGCGAUCUGGGUAGAUACUGACGCUGAGGUGCGAAAGCGUGGGGAGCAAACAGG